UAGGGAAUCUUCCACAAUGGGCGCAAGCCUGAUGGAGCAACACCGCGUGAGUGAAGAAGGGUUUCGGCUCGUAAAGCUCUGUUGUUAAAGAAGAACACGUAUGAGAGUAACUGUUCAUACGUUGACGGUAUUUAACCAGAAAGUCGACGGCUAACUACGUGCCAG
rnacentral:rRNA from 1 species